CAAUAGCGUAUAUUUAAGUUGUUGCAGUUAAAAAGCUCGUAGUUGGAUUUCGGGCGGGUGACGGCGGUCCGCCUCUGGUGUGCACUGCCGGCAUCCGCCUUUCUGUCGGGGACGGGCUCCUGGGCUUCAUUGCUUGGGACUCGGGUUCGACGUGGUUACUUUGAGUAAAUUAGAGUGUUCAAAGCAGGCGAUCGCCCUGAAUACAUUAGCAUGGAAUAGCACGAUAGGACUCUGGCCUAUUUUGCUGGUCUGUAGGACCGGAGUAAUGAUUAAGAGGGACAGUCGGGGGCAUUCGUAUUUCAUUGUCAGAGGUGAAAUUCUUGGAUUUACGGAAGACGAACAUCUGCGAAAGCAUUUGCCAAGGAUGUUUUCAUUGA
rnacentral:rRNA from 1 species